rnacentral:misc_RNA from 1 species
GAAAUGCGAUAAGUAGUGUGAAUUGCAGAAUUCAGUGAAUCAUCGAAUCUUUGAACGCACAUUGCGCCCUUUGGUAUUCCUUAGGGCAUGCCUGUUCGAGCGUCAUCUAAACCUUCAAGCCCUGCUUGGUGUUGGGUGCCUGUCCCGCCUCCGCGCGCGGACUCACCUCAAAUCCAUUGUCGGCCCCCGCGUCGGCCACGAGCGCAGCAGAAACGCGAACUCGUGAGCCCGUCCGGGCGGCUCCCAGAAGCUACACCCACCCAGUUUGACCUCGGAUCAGGUAGGGAUACCCGCUGAACUUAAGC